rnacentral:rRNA from 1 species
UCGAGAAUCUUCCGCAAUGGACGAAAGUCUGACGGAGCGACGCCGCGUGAUGGAUGAAGUCCUUCGGGACGUAAACAUCUUUUAUGAGGGAGGAAUUUUUGACGUUACCUCAUGAAUAAGGGGCUCCUAACUCUGUGCCAGCAGGAGCGGUAAUACAGAGGCCCCAAGCGUUACCCGGAUUUAUUGGGCGUAAAGGGUGCGUAGGCGGUUUUAUUAGUCUGUCGUUAAAUUUCCCGGCUCAACCGGGAACUCGCGAUGGAAACGGUAAAACUAGAGGAUGUGAGAGGUGAUCGGAACUCAAGGUGUAGGGGUGAAAUCCGUUGAUAUCUUGGGGAACACCAAAAGCGAAGGCAGAUCACUGGCGCAUUCCUGACGCUGAAGCACGAAAGCGUGGGUAGCGAACGGG